AAAAGUACAGGCGUAAGUUAGAAGUGGUAAGAGCUCAUGUAGAUGCUACAAAUCUGCAUUAUUAUAAUGAAUUACGCCAGCGACUUGAUUUUCUUCUAGUCAAGGAUGAUAUGUUUUGGAGACAAAGAGCUAAAACUUUUUGGUAUCGCGAAGGAGAUCUCAAUACGCGUUACUUUCAUGCUACUGCUACAACCCGAAAGA
rnacentral:lncRNA from 1 species